rnacentral:rRNA from 1 species
UGGGGAAUUUUGGACAAUGGGGGCAACCCUGAUCCAGCCAUGCCGCGUGAGUGAAGAAGGCCUUCGGGUUGUAAAGCUCUUUCGGCGGGGACGAAACGGUCCGUGACAACACCACGGACUAAUGACAGUACUCGCAGAAGAAGCACCGGCUAACUACGUGCCAGCAGCCGCGGUAAUACGUAGGGUGCAGGCGUUAAUCGGAAUUACUGGGCGUAAAGCGUGCGCAGGCGGCUCCUUAAGUCAGAUGUGAAAUCCCCGUGCUUAACCUGGGAACUGCGUUUGAAACUGAGGGGCUAGAGUGUGGAAGAGGGGGGUGGAAUUCCAGGUGUAGCAGUGAAAUGCGUAGAGAUCUGGAGGAACACCGAUGGCGAAGGCAGCCCCCUGGGCUAACACUGACGCUCAUGCACGAAAGCGUGGGGAGCAAACAGGAUUAGAUACCCUUGUAGUCCCUGAGCGGGCUGGCAAGGCGCAU